UACGGAGGGUGCGAGCGUUGUCCGGAAUUAUUGGGUUUAAAGGGUGCGUAGGCGGGCUAUUAAGUCAGUAGUGAAAUUUAGAGGCUUAACCUCUAACGUGCUAUAGAAACUGAUAGUCUUGAGUUUGGUAGAGGUAUGCGGAAUUUAUGAUGUAGCGGUGAAAUGCAUAGAUAUCAUAAAGAACACCAAUUGCGAAGGCAGUAUACUAGACCAAUACUGACGCUGAUGCACGAAAGCGUGGGUAGCGAACAGG
rnacentral:rRNA from 1 species